rnacentral:lncRNA from 1 species
GAGAUAUUGUGAAGGCACAAUGGCAGGACUGGGCAAAUGAUUGGAUGUCAGAAAUGAGAGAGAUGAAGGUAGGAGGGACAGAAAUGGAAAUAGAGAGAAGAGUUAGGGAUAAACUAUAAGUGGUUGUGAGCCUGAGUUACUGUAAGUAUGGUGGUACUCUGGCCAGUAAUAAGGAAAUUAGGCAGAGGAGACUUGACUAAGACAAAUUUAACUCAGAAGACUAUCAUGAAUGCACAUAUUUUCUCACAGUUGUGAAUGGUACAGGUAUCCAUCCAACCUCAAACUGAAGACAUACAGUGGUGUGAAUGCUAUAACUCUCAAGGAGCUACAGAAGUCUAUUCUGCUUUAAGAAAACUCUAUUUUAAGGAAGUUACUUUUCUUCUCUUUCACAUAAACCUCAUGCUAGACAACAAUCUAUUCAUUCACUAUCCUUUGGAUCCAGUUAUCCAAGGAAGAAAGAUAAGUUCUGUUUUAGAGCUAUUGAGUUUGAGAUGCCUAGAGGACAGCAAUCUAUUCAUUGGAUCACCUACUAAUAGUAACUGCUGAAAACUAUAGAGAUUUAGUCUCAAUUUAAGAAGACUGUUCCUCAGGUAUAUUUUGGAAUGAAUUGCUUCUGUGGUAUAUUCCUUACAGGGAUCUUUUUUUGUUUAAGCUUCUCAUUUAAUUCUUGAAUUCCAAUAUGUUGUUCUUUUAAUAAAAAAAGGAAAAAGAAAAAAAUGUUCCA